rnacentral:tRNA from 1 species
GGAGAUACAGCUCAAGUGGUAGAGCAAGUGCUUAGCAUGCAUGAGGUCCUGGGUCAAUCCCCAGUAUCUCCU